rnacentral:rRNA from 1 species
CAGCCGCCGCGGUAAUACAGAGGGUGCGAGCGUUAAUCGGAUUUACUGGGCGUAAAGCGUGCGCAGGCGGUUAUAUAAGACAGAUGUGAAAUCCCCGGGCUCAACCUGGGAACUGCAUUUGUGACUGUAUAGCUAGAGUACGGCAGAGGGGGAUGGAAUUCCGCGUGUAGCAGUGAAAUGCGUAGAUAUGCGGAGGAACACCGAUGGCGAAGGCAAUCCCCUGGGCCUGUACUGACGCUCAUGCACGAAAGCGUGGGGAGCAAACAGGAUUAGAUACCCCAGUAGUCCCUGUCUCUUAUAC